UGACAAUUGACCAGAUGAACUCUCAGCGCCUGUAGCUACUUACUCUGCCUUACCUGCCUAGAGAAGAUGCAGUUGAUCAACCGCGACUCAUAAGUCACCUCCUUAGGAACCUCUUCUUCAUUGGAACUAGCAUCUCGAGAGGUCUCGGCCUGCCAUUUACUGGCUUUCUGUGACUUGAUUUUACCCGUAGCAAGGUACCCUUAUAGAAGCCUCAUAGUCCCUCAUAGCAAUUAAUAGAUCACAUCGAUGAAAUAGGCAUAAUCAGUCACAAAGCUCUAUAAGGCACUUAGUGGUCUCACUACAAUACAGCUUAUUAGAUUCGUGUGAUCACGUUAUGACAAUGCCACUGGACGACCGGAGGGAUAAUCAUGUGAUGAGAAUGACACCGUACCUGUUGUUGACCUGUUGCUUCCUUGAAUCGGUUGUGCAUUUGAUGAUUGGCGACAUGGAAGUAUCUUUCAGAAAUUUCCUAUCAAACAUCUCCACAAAACCAAUAUUACGGCUCAUCACGAACGAUAAACCAGGUCCUCUCGAUGUACACCAAUCAGUUCAAUUAUGAUUGACGACUCUGUUAUGUCUUCAUCGGUGUCCAAUGUCCAUCUAGUGCAGGCCACAAUUAGUCAUGUCCACACGUGUGUGUGUGUCUUGUUUCUUUGCUCAUCACGUCUCAGCUUCAAUAAGGAAUUGUCCCGAUAAUCCGAGCGCCUUCGUUUGGAUAAGAACAUUACCGUUAAACGUGUCACCGUGCUUGGCAGACAUAGAUCCAGCCAGUCAGCAGCACGUGAAUCAACCGGGCGUCUCAAGCCUCAGAGUCAGCCAAUCGUCAUCAGGAGGUGAAGUCAAUCCAUCCGAUCCCGGGGAUGACCAAGUGGGACGGUUUAGGUCCCCCAUUUAGUCACGUACGGUGGUGUUGCACACUUGGCACACAUGAGUGCUGCGGUUGGUACGACGACCAUCGUUCGUGUUGAUGGUUUGCUUUGUUUGUGAAUCACUCACUCACUCACUAGUUUGCAGCGUAAUGGAUAGUUAGAGCGCACUUUCCUCCGAGACAAUUGUUACCCGAGCUGGCUGUUAUGGAGUUGUGGCUCAUCGCUAGAAACGGGCGCAAACACACUAGAGGAAACAACACGACUGCUGCUGCCUGUCUCGUCGUCAUGCUUCCUGUGUGGUUCAAGUCUUUGUCAAUAGAAGGAGGAUUAGAUGUUCCAUUUGGUUCAAGUUAGGAGAAAAACAACACAAGACAUCGCGCGCUUUUUGUCUGAGAAGAGAUGCACGAUCUCGCAACAGUGCCACCAGUGCCGGAACGCGGAAAGAUUCCACGGCUGUCAACAACCACAUCAGUAACUUCAACCCCAAGGACUACAACUGCUGCCGGUAAACGUCAUUGGAAACGGUGGAUCCGGUUCGGCGAACGAAAUCCGGGUUCGGAAACGAUAUCCAAAACCUCUCCAUCACGCGCCGCUGCUUUAUUUGGUGUGCUGCGAGCGGAUCAUACCAAAAAAGUGAAUAAAUAAGCUUGUUUGAACAU